UGGCGGCGCGCUUACACAUGCAAGUCGAGCGAGAAAGGGGAGCAAUCCCUGAGUACAGCGGCGUACGGGUGAGUAACACGUGGGUAAUCUACCUUCGAGUGGGGGAUAACCCUGGGAAACCGGGGCUAAUACCGCAUGAGCCUGAGAAGGGAAAGCAGCAAUGCGCUGGAAGAGGAGCCCGCGGCCGAUUAGCUAGUUGGUGAGGUAACGGCCCACCAAGGCGAUGAUCGGUAGCCGGCCUGAGAGGGCACACGGCCACACUGGCACUGAAACACGGGCCAGACUCCUACGGGAGGCAGCAGUGGGGAAUCUUGCACAAUGGAGGCAACUCUGAUGCAGCGACGCCGCGUGAGCGAUGAAGCCCUUCGGGGUGUAAAGCUCUUUCGGCAGGGACGAUAAUGACGGUACCUGAAGAAGAAGCUGCGGCUAACUACGUGCCAGCAGCCGCGGUAAUACGUAGGCAGCGAGCGUUGUUCGGAAUUACUGGGCGUAAAGAGUGUGUANGCGGUGCUCUAAGUUCGGUGUGAAAUCUCCCGGCUUAACUGGGAGGGUGCGCCGGAAACUG
rnacentral:rRNA from 1 species